CCCUGGUAGGUUGCUCUGCGGCCAAUCAGAGGCGCUUCCUCCAGUCCUUCUCUUUGUAUGUAAAGCCGAACGCACGACGAACAAACCAGAUUAUUCUCUACAUAAACAACCCAAAAAAGAAAAGAUCAUGGGAAACGGCCCUUCCUCUGCUCCAACAGGAAUCCCAUCAGGUGUAAUGACGUUUGCAUCACCUGCUGGUGCGACAAUUGGUUAUCCCCACCCAAGCCCUACUCCUCUCAGCACUGAUAUCACACUCCCAUCAGGUCCACCACCAAGCGGUGGUCCACCACCAAGCGGUGGUCCACCACCGAUGAUGUAACCAAGGCUUUCUCCUUGAAGUCGUUGUGGUUUGUGAAGCUCUUUAUGGGCUAUAAUAAUAAAAUUGGAUUGAUUGAUGAACCUA